rnacentral:rRNA from 1 species
ACGGGAGGCAGCAGUGGGGAAUAUUGCACAAUGGGGGAAACCCUGAUGCAGCAACGCCGCGUGAGUGAAGAAGUAUUUCGGUAUGUAAAGCUCUAUCAGCAGGGAAGAAAAUGACGGUACCUGACUAAGAAGCCCCGGCUAACUACGUGCCAGCAGCCGCGGUAAUACGUAGGGGGCAAGCGUUAUCCGGAUUUACUGGGUGUAAAGGGAGCGUAGACGGUUUGGCAAGUCAGAAGUGAAAGCUUAGGGCUCAACCCUAGAACUGCUUUUGAAACUGUUGAACUAGAGUGUCGGAGAGGUAAGUGGAAUUCCUAGUGUAGCGGUGAAAUGCGUAGAUAUUAGGAGGAACACCAGAGGCGAAGGCGGCUUACUGGACGAUUACUGACGUUGAGGCUCGAAAGCGUGGGGAGCAAACAGGAUUAGAUACCCUGGUA